rnacentral:rRNA from 1 species
GUGUCAGCAGCCGCGGUAAGACGAACCGUGCGAACGUUGUUCGGAAUCACUGGGCUUAAAGGGCGCGUAGGCGGACCUGCCAGUCUGUGGUGAAAGCCCCCGGCUUAACCGGGGAAGUGCCGCGGAUACUGCAGGUCUGGAGGAGGGUAGGGGCGUCUGGAACGGUCGGUGGAGCGGUGAAAUGCGUUGAUAUCGACCGGAACUCCGGUGGCGAAGGCGAGGCGCUGGACCCUUUCUGACGCUGAGGCGCGAAAGCCAGGGGAGCGAACGGGAUUAGAUACCCCAGUAGUCC